rnacentral:rRNA from 1 species
AUACUUAGUGGCAGACGGGUGAGUAACAUGUGGGUAUCUUCCCUAUGGUGAGGAAUAACACGAGGAAACUUGUGCUAAUACCUCAUAAGUCUUUACGGAGAAAGCUUUAUGCGCCAUUGGAUGAGCCCGCACUUGAUUAGUUUGUUGGUAGGGUAACGGCCUACCAAGACUGUGAUCAAUAGCUGAUUUGAGAGGAUGAUCAGCCACAUUGGGACUGAGACACGGCCCAAACUCCUACGGGAGGCAGCAGUAAGGAAUCUUGCACAAUGGAGGAAACUCUGAUGCAGCGAUGCCGCGUGAGUGAAGAAGGCCCUUGGGUUGUAAAGCUCUUUCGUCGGGGAAGAAAAUGACUGUACCCGAAUAAGAAGGUCCGGCUAACUUCGUGCCAGCAGCCGCGGUAAUACGAAGGGACCUAGCGUAGUUCGGAAUUACUGGGCUUAAAGAGUUCGUAGGUGGUUAAAAAAGUUGGUGGUGAAAUCCCAGAGCUUAACUCUGGAACUGCCAUCAAAACUUUUUAGCUAGAGUAUGAUAGAGGAAAGCAGAAUUUCUAGUGUAGAGGUGAAAUUCGUAGAUAUUAGAAAGAAUACCAAUUGCGAAGGCAGCUUUCUGGAUCAUUACUGACACUGAGGAACGAAAGCAUGGGUAGCGAAGAGGAUUAGAUACCCUCGUAGUCCAUGCCGUAAACGAUGUGUGUUAGACGUUGGAAAUUUAUUUUCAGUGUCGCAGCGAAAGCGAUAAACACACCGCCUGGGGAGUACGACCGCAAGGUUAAAACUCAAAUGAAUUGACGGGACCCGCACAAGUAGUGGAGCAUGUGGUUUAAUUCGAAGAUACGCGCAGAACUUACCAACACUUGACAUGUUCGUCGCGACUUUAAGAGAUUAAAGUUUUCGGUUCGGCCGGACGAAACACAGGUGCUGCAUGGCUGUCGUCAGCUCGUGUCGUGAGAUGUUGGGUUAAGUCC